GGCGUAGCUCAGGGGUAGAGCACAACCUUGCCAAGGUUGGGGUCGAGGGUUCAAAUCCCUCCUUGCCA
rnacentral:tRNA from 1 species